GACGAACGCUGGCGGCGUGCUUGACACAUGCAAGUCGAACGGAAAGGCCCUGCUUUUGUGGGGUGCUCGAGUGGCGAACGGGUGAGUAACACGUAAGUAACCUGCCCUUGACUUUGGGAUAACUUCAGGAAACUGGGGCUAAUACCGGAUAGGAGCUCCUGCUGCAUGGUGGGGGUUGGAAAGUUUCGGCGGUUGGGGAUGGACUCGCGGCUUAUCAGCUUGUUGGUGGGGUAGUGGCUUACCAAGGCUUUGACGGGUAGCCGGCCUGAGAGGGUGACCGGCCACAUUGGGACUGAGAUACGGCCCAGACUCCUACGGGAGGCAGCAGUGGGGAAUAUUGCACAAUGGGCGGAAGCCUGAUGCAGCAACGCCGCGUGCGGGAUGACGGCCUUCGGGUUGUAAACCGCUUUCGCCUGUGACGAAGCGUGAGUGACGGUAAUGGGUAAAGAAGCACCGGCUAACUACGUGCCAGCAGCCGCGGUGAUACGUAGGGUGCGAGCGUUGUCCGGAUUUAUUGGGCGUAAAGGGCUCGUAGGUGGUUGAUCGCGUCGGAAGUGUAAUCUUGGGGCUUAACCCUGAGCGUGCUUUCGAUACGGGUUGACUUGAGGAAGGUAGGGGAGAAUGGAAUUCCUGGUGGAGCGGUGGAAUGCGCAGAUAUCAGGAGGAACACCAGUGGCGAAGGCGGUUCUCUGGGCCUUUCCUGACGCUGAGGAGCGAAAGCGUGGGGAGCGAACAGGCUUAGAUACCCUGGUAGUCCACGCUGUAAACGGUGGGUACUAGGUGUGGGGUCCAUUCCACGGGUUCCGUGCCGUAGCUAACGCUUUAAGUACCCCGCCUGGGGAGUACGGCCGCAAGGCUAAAACUCAAGGGAAUUGACGGGGCCCCGCACAAGCGGCGGAGCAUGCGGAUUAAUUCGAUGCAACGCGUAGAACCUUACCUGGGUUUGACAUGGAUCGGGAGUGCUCAGAGAUGGGUGUGCCUCUUUUGGGGUCGGUUCACAGGUGGUGCAUGGCUGUCGUCAGCUCGUGUCGUGAGAUGUUGGGUUAAGUCCCGCAACGAGCGCAACCCUUGUUCACUGUUGCCAGCACGUUAUGGUGGGGACUCAGUGGAGACCGCCGGGGUCAACUCGGAGGAAGGUGGGGAUGACGUCAAGUCAUCAUGCCCCUUAUGUCCAGGGCUUCACGCAUGCUACAAUGGCUGGUACAGAGAGUGGCGAGCCUGUGAGGGUGAGCGAAUCUCGGAAAGCCGGUCUCAGUUCGGAUUGGGGUCUGCAACUCGACCUCAUGAAGUCGGAGUCGCUAGUAAUCGCAGAUCAGCAACGCUGCGGUGAAUACGUUCCCGGG
rnacentral:rRNA from 1 species